UUCCAGACUCCUACGGGAGGCAGCAGUGGGGGAUAUUGCACAAUGGGGGGAACCCUGAUGCAGCGACGCCGCGUGGGUGAAGGAGCACCUCGGUGCGUAAAGCCCUAUCGGCAGGGAAGAAAAGCGAACAGGUUCGCCUGGACGGUACCUGACUAAGAAGCCCCGGCUAACUACGUGCCAGCAGCCGCGGUAAUACGUACGGGGCAAGCGUUAUCCGGAUUUACUGGGUGUAAAGGGAGCGUAGACGGCCAGACAAGUCUGAAGUGAAAAUCCAGCGCUUAACGUUGGAAGUGCUUUGGAAACUGCCGGGCUGGAGUGCAGGAGGGGCAGGCGGAAUUCCUAGUGUAGCGGUGAAAUGCGUAGAUAUUAGGAGGAACACCAGUGGCGAAGGCGGCCUGCUGGACUGCAACUGACGUUGAGGCUCGAAGGCGUGGGGAGAAAACAGGAUUAGAUACCCUUGUA
rnacentral:rRNA from 1 species